rnacentral:rRNA from 1 species
AUCGGAAUUACUGGGCGUAAAGCGCACGCAGGCGGUCUGUCAAGUCGGAUGUGAAAUCCCCGGGCUCAACCUGGGAACUGCAUUCGAAACUGGCAGGCUGGAGUCUUGUAGAGGGGGGUAGAAUUCCAGGUGUAGCGGUGAAAUGCGUAGAGAUCUGGAGGAAUACCGGUGGCGAAGGCGGCCCCCUGGACAAAGACUGACGCUCAGGUGCGAAAGCGUGGGGAGCAAACAGGAUUAGAUACCCUGGUAGUCCACGCCGUAAACGAUGUCGAUUUUGGGAGGUUGUGCCCUUGAGGCGUGGCUUCCGGAGGCUAACGCGUUAAAUCGACCGCCUGGGGAGUACGGCCGCAAGGUUAAAACUCAAAUGAAUUGACGGGGGCCCGCACAAGCGGUGGAGCAUGUGGUUUAAUUCGAUGCAACGCGAAGAACCUUACCUGGUCUUGACAUCCACAGAACUUUCCAGAGAUGGAUUGGUGCCUUCGGGAACUGUGAGACAGGUGCUGCAUGGCUGUCGUCAGCUCGUGUUGUGAAAUGUUGGGUUAAGUCCCGCAACGAGCGCAACCCUUAUCCUUUGUUGCCAGCGGUCCGGCCGGGAACUCAAAGGAGACUGCCAGUGAUAAACUGGAGGAAGGUGGGGAUGACGUCAAGUCAUCAUGGCCCUUACGACCAGGGCUACACACGUGCUACAAUGGCGCAUACAAAGAGAAGCGACCUCGCGAGAGCAAGCGGACCUCAUAAAGUGCGUCGUAGUCCGGAUUGGAGUCUGCAACUCGACUCCAUGAAGUCGGAAUCGCUAGUAAUCGUAGAUCAGAAUGCUACGGUGAAUACGUUCCCGGGCCUUGUACACACCGCCCGUCACACCAUGGGAGUGGGUUGCAAAAGAAGUAGGUAGCUUAACCUUCGGGAGGGCGCUUACCACUUUGUGAUUCAUGACUGGGGUGA